rnacentral:rRNA from 1 species
UACGUAGGGGGCGAGCGUUGUCCGGAUUUAUUGGGCGUAAAGCGCGCGCAGGCGGUUCGUUAAGUCCGAUGUGAAAGCUCCCGGCUCAACUGGGAGAGGUCUUCGGAUACUGGCGAACUCGAGGGAGGCAGAGGAAGGUGGAAUUCCGGGUGUAGUGGUGAAAUGCGUAGAGAUCCGGAGGAACACCAGUGGCGAAGGCGGCCUUCUGGGCCUUUCCUGACGCUGAGGCGCGAAAGCGUGGGGAGCGAACCGGAUUAGAUACCCGGGUAGUCCACGCCGUAAACGAUGCUCACUAGAUGUGGGGGGUAUCGACCCCCUCCGCGUCGAAGCUAACGCAUUAAGUGAGCCGCCUGGGGAGUACGGCCGCAAGGCUAAA